rnacentral:rRNA from 1 species
CCUACGGGAGGCUGCAGUGGGGAAUAUUGGACAAUGGGCGAAAGCCUGAUCCAGCCAUGCCGCGUGUGUGAAGAAGGCCUUCGGGUUGUAAAGCACUUUCAGUGGGGAAGAAAGCCUUGGGGCUAAUACCCUCGAGGAAGGACAUCACCCACAGAAGAAGCACCGGCUAACUCCGUGCCAGCAGCCGCGGUAAUACGGAGGGUGCGAGCGUUAAUCGGAAUUACUGGGCGUAAAGCGCGCGUAGGCGGUCUGAUAAGCCGGUUGUGAAAGCCCCGGGCUCAACCUGGGAACGGCAUCCGGAACUGUCAGGCUAGAGUGCAGGAGAGGAAGGUAGAAUUCCCGGUGUAGCGGUGAAAUGCGUAGAGAUCGGGAGGAAUACCAGUGGCGAAGGCGGCCUUCCGGACUGACACUGACGCUGAGGUGCGAAAGCGUGGGUAGCAAACAGGAUUAGAUACCCUAGUAGUC